GACGAACGCUGGCGGCGUGCCUAAUACAUGCAAGUAGGACGCAGUUGCGAACGGGUGAGUAACGCGUAGGUAACUACCUAUUAGAGGGGGAUAACUAUUGGAAACGUUAGCUAAUACCGCAUAUAAGUAGAAGGACCUGCUUUGUAUUAGCGAGUAGGUAGGGUAAUGACCUACCGUGGCAACGAUACAUAUCCGACCUUGGAGGGUGAGCGGCCACACGGGGACGGAGACAAGGCCCAGACUCCUACGGGAGGCAGCAGUAGGGAGUCGUCGGCAAUGGGUGGAACCCUGACCGAGCAACGCCGCGUGAGUGAAGAAGGUUUUCGGAUCGUAAAGCUCUGUUGUUAAGGAAGCGGUACUUAACCAGAAAGGGACGGCUAACUACGUGCCAGCAGCCGCGGUAAUUC
rnacentral:rRNA from 1 species